rnacentral:rRNA from 1 species
AGCGAACGCUGGCGGCAGGCUUAACACAUGCAAGUCGAACGCCCGGGCAACCGGGAGUGGCAGACGGGAGAGUAACGCGUGGGAACGUGCCCUUUGGUUCGGAAUAACUCAGGGAAACUUGAGCUAAUACCGGAUAAGCCCUUACGGGGAAAGAUUUAUCGCCGAAGGAACGGCCCGCGUCCGAUUAGCUAGUUGGUGUGGUAAUGGCGCACCAAGGCGACGAUCGGUAGCUGGUCUGAGAGGAUGAUCAGCCACACUGGGACUGAGACACGGCCCAGACUCCUACGGGAGGCAGCAGUGGGGAAUAUUGGACAAUGGGGGCAACCCUGAUCCAGCCAUGCCGCGUGAGUGAUGAAGGCCCUAGGGUUGUAAAGCUCUUUCGGCGGUGACGAUAAUGACGGUACCCGCAGAAGAAGCCCCGGCUAACUUCGUGCCAGCCGCCGCGGUAAAAC